AUCUGAGCUGGGAGGGUCCCUCUCCAAAUGUGUCUUGGGGUAGGGGAUCAAGACACAUUUGGAGAGGGAACCUCCCAACUCCGCCUCAUUGAACUCU
rnacentral:pre_miRNA from 10 species